GAUGAACGCUGGCGGCGUGCCUAAUACAUGCAAGUCGAGCGAACAGACGAGGAGCUUGCUCCUCUGACGUUGGCGGCGGACGGGUGAGUAACACGUGGAUAACCUACCUAUAAGACUGGGAUAACUUCGGGAAACCGGAGCUACUACCGGAUAAUAUAUUGAACCGCAUGGUUCAAUAGUGAAAGACGGUUUUGCUGUCACUUAUAGAUGGUUCCGCGCCGCAUUAGCUAGUUGGUAAGGUAACGGCUUACCAAGGCGACGAUGCGUAGCCGACCUGAGAGGGUGAUCGGCCACACUGGAACUGAGACACGGUCCAGACUCCUACGGGAGGCAGCAGUAGGGAAUCUUCCGCAAUGGGCGAAAGCCUGACGGAGCAACGCCGCGUGAGUGAUGAAGGUCUUCGGAUCGUAAAACUCUGUUAUUAGGGAAGAACAAAUGUGUAAGUAACUAUGCACGUCUUGACGGUACCUAAUCAGAAAGCCACGGCUAACUACGUG
rnacentral:rRNA from 1 species